GUUUUGUGUUGCCUAUGUGAUAGGCUACCUUAACUUGAUGCUGGGGAAGUCCGGUGGGAUUCCGGUACUGUGCCGCAACUGUAAUGCCAUAGCAGAGGGAGCGAUUUGAGAGUUCCGACAACCGGCGGGGGUUGUUUCUCUCCAAAAAUGCCCCUCUGAAAGCGAGUCAGAAUACCAGCCUCAAGGGGUUUCUCUAA
rnacentral:ncRNA from 2 species